rnacentral:rRNA from 1 species
GUAAAGCGUACGUAGGCGGUUCGUUAAGUUAGAUGUGAAAGCCCCGGGCUUAACCUGGGAACUGCAUUUAAAACUGGCGAACUAGAGUUGAGUAGAGGGGAGUGGAAUUUCAGGUGUAGCGGUGAAAUGCGUAGAGAUCUGAAGGAACACCAGUGGCGAAGGCGACUCCCUGGACUCAAACUGACGCUGAGGUACGAAAGUGUGGGUAGCAAACGGGAUUAGAUACCCCGGUAGUCCACGCCGUAAACGAUGUCAACUAACUGUUGGAACCUUAAAGGUUUUAGUAGUGGAGCUAACGUAUUAAGUUGACCGCCUGGGGAGUACGGCCGCAAGGCUAAAACUCAAAUGAAUUGACGGGGGCCCGCACAAGCGGUGGAGCAUGUGGUUUAAUUCGAUGCAACGCGAAGAACCUUACCUACCCUUGACAUCCAGAGAAUCUGUUAGAGAUAGUAGAGUGCCUUCGGGAGCUCUGAGACAGGUGCUGCAUGGCCGUCGUCAGCUCGUGUCGUGAGAUGUUGGGUUAAGUCCCGUAACGAGCGCAACCCUUAUCCUUAGUUGCCAACACGUAAUGGUGGGAACUCUAGGGAGACUGCCGGUGAUAAACCGGAGGAAGGUGGGGACGACGUCAAGUCAUCAUGGCCCUUAUGGGUAGGGUUACACCCCUUAAAAUUAGGCCUUGGACCGG